GUACUCACUUUGGCAGCACAUAUACUAAAAUUGGAAUGAUAAUGAGGUGAGUUUGGCCCCUGAGCAAGGGUAAAAUGCAAAUUUGGGAAGUGUUUCAUAAAUAU